UAACCUAUUUAGCGAUAAAUAGCUGAACAGUCAGAAGUCAGCAGAGGUCAUAGUACUCGACUAGCUUAAGAUAGACGAGGAAGGAC
rfam:Bacillus wakoensis JCM 9140 DNA, contig:contig_148.